AUCUGGGCGGCGGAAUUCAGGAUGGCUGACGUGCUCUCGCGGUGCGUCGGUCGUUUGAUAUUUCCGUCGCCGACUACCGCAGACGUCGCGACCUGUUCGCGGUCGGUCCCUGCUCGGAGGAGCCGCGUUCGAGCUCGUUGUGUGCGCGUUUCGGCGUGUCACACGGUGAAGGCGCGGAUCUCUGGCUGGCCGUCGGACAGUAUGCUUAACGGUGUCCGGUGUCGUCGUCUCGUACGCGCGGCAUCGGUACCGGUCAGCGACGAAUUCUUCGGGCCUCUUUCCGACCCGUCUUGAAACACGGACCAAGGAGUCUAACAUGCGCGCGAGUCGCGGGGUAUCGAGCGUACUUCGGUGCGUUCGUUAUGUUGCGAAACCCGUACAUGUCGAAGGCGUAAUGAAAGUGAAUGGGGAAGAUGGCGUUCCGAGUUCACGUUCCGCGAUCAUCGGUGUCGCGGCCGGACGCCCGCACUCCCAGGGCGUCUCAACGGCCCGUCGCUGAUGCGGACCGUCGUCCUUCGGGGCGGCUGUCGGUCGGCGACGAACCGA
rnacentral:rRNA from 1 species